rnacentral:ncRNA from 1 species
AGGUGCUAUAUGCAUAACAGAGAAUCUGGUGUAAGUCCAGAGCGGUCCCGCCACUGUAAGAUGGAGCAAUACGAUUAUGUCACUGGGCAACUGGGAAGGCUGAUAUUGCGGUGAAGUCAAGUCAGGAGAACUACCUAUUCAUC